ACUUAUUUUUAUAUUAAUUUAUAAAUAAUAAAUUAAUAAAUAAUACAAAUAUUUAUAUAAAAAUAAAUACAAUGAAAAUCAUCUCUUAUUUUCAAGUUUUGUUAGGUCAUUAGAUACCUCAUUACACGUUAAAAUAAAGUUUGCAUUGGGAAACCACAAACAAAAACUCUUUACCAUUCUUAUUUAGAAACGUGUACGUCUCCAAAAUCUGUGAGGUCAUGUCUUCUCAAUUCCAAUGUGUUCCUCUCUUUAUCUUCCAGACUGUUUCCUUCUACAACACUUCACAUGAUCUCUCUCUCUCUCCCCCCGCUCUCCAAGAACCCUUAUUUUUUCAACAUUUUUCCAAUUCCAAUGCAUUUUCUCAUAAUCAACUCUUCAUAUUUUCACAUAUCUUUACAAUUCUUUCUUCUAUAAAAACGUGCAGGUCUUCCCAAUACCUGUGAAGUAUUAUUCUCCAAUUCCAACGUGUGCCUCUCUUUAUCUUCCCCACUAUUUCCUUCUACAACAUUCCAUAUGAUCUCUCUCUCUCCAACAACCCUUAUUCUUUCAACUUUUUUAUGUUCUAAUGCAUCUUCUCAUAAGCAACUCUUCAUGAUUUCUUCAUUUCUCCCAUCAACUCAUCGAUAGUAAUUGCAAUAUCUUCAAAAUCUACGCAUCCAAGGUACAGGGGAGAAGCAACUCAUCAUUCUUCAGAGGCAGAGCAUUGAUAUUUUUUAAGGUUUACAUCUUCCCUAUGCUUUUCCUCUCUAUUUUUUUUAUUUUAUUUUUUAUAAGCACCUUUGUUUUUCUUUGAUUUAUCAUAGUUUCAUGUGCCCUUUUUUGGAAGGGUUGUUGAUUGUAGAGCCAAUCGUGUCUUUAAUGGAG
rnacentral:lncRNA from 1 species